rnacentral:rRNA from 1 species
GACGAACGCUGGCGGCGUGCCUAAUACAUGCAAGUAGAACGCUGAAGGAGGAGCUUGCUUCUCUGGAUGAGUUGCGAACGGGUGAGUAACGCGUAGGUAACCUGCCUGGUAGCGGGGGAUAACUAUUGGAAACGAUAGCUAAUACCGCAUAAGAGUAGAUGUUGUAUGACAUUUGCUUAAAAGGUGCAAUUGCAUCACUACCAGAUGGACCUGCGUUGUAUUAGCUAGUUGGUGGGGUAACGGCUUACCAAGGCGACGAUACAUAGCCGACCUGAGAGGGUGAUCGGCCACACUGGGACUGAGACACGGCCCAGACUCCUACGGGAGGCAGCAGUAGGGAAUCUUCGGCAAUGGACGGAAGUCUGACCGAGAAACGCCGCGUGAGUGAAGAAGGUUUUCGGAUCGUAAAGCUCUGUUGUAAGAGAAGAACGAGUGUGAGAGUGGAAAGUUCACACUGUGACGGUAUCUUACCAGAAAGGGACGGCUAACUACGUG